rnacentral:lncRNA from 1 species
CAGGAAGUACGAAGCGGAGGAACAAAGUGCCGAUGCUGGACCAGGCCGUGGCGGGCGGGACUUCAUUGGGGGCGGAACCCUGGGGAUCCCUUGGAGAAAUGAGGAAACUGAGAGGUAUCCUGGCACCACAGCUCCGUUUAACACUGUACUGCACCCUGGGAGACGUGUGGAUGUUAGCAGAGGACAUGAGGUUUCCAAAAUCUAAGACUCAGGUACUGCCAGGUAUGGUUGAUGCACUCCUGUGAUCCCAGCAUUCAGGAGGCUGAGACAGGAGGAUCACUGCAAAUUUGAGGCUAGCCUGGGGCUAUAUAGUGAGUUCAAGGCCAUUCUGAACUACAUAGUGAGAUCCUGUCUCAAAAAAUUAAAAUAA